GGUUUGAAAGUCAUGGCUCAGAUUGAACGCUGGCGGGAUGCUUUACACAUGCAAGUCGAACGGCGGCACGGACUUCGGUCUGGUGGCGAGUGGCGAACAGGUGAGUAAUGUAUCGGAACGUGCCUAGUAGCGGGGGAUAACUACGCGAAAGCGUAGCUAAUACCGCAUACGCCCUUCGAGGAAAGCAGGGGACAGCACAGGGCCUCGCACUAUUAGAGCAGCCGAUAUCGGAUUAGCUAGUUGGUGGGGGUAACGGCUCACCAAGGCGACGAUCCGUAGCUGGUUUGAGAGGACGACCAGCCACACUGGGACUGAGACACGGCCCAGACUCCUACGGGAGGCAGCAGUGGGGAAUUUUGGACAAUGGGGGAAACCCUGAUCCAGCCAUCCCGCGUGUGCGAUGAAGGCCUUCGGGUUGUAAAGCACUUUUGGCAGGAAAGAAACGGCACGGGAUAAUACCCCGUGCAACUGACGGUACCUGCAGAAUAAGCACCGGCUAACUACGUGCCAGCAGCCGCGGUAAUACGUAGGGUGCAAGCGUUAAUCGGAAUUACUGGGCGUAAGCGUGCGCAGGCGGUUCGGAAAGAAAGAUGUGAAAUCCCAGAGCUUAACUUUGGAACUGCAUUUUAACUACCGAGCUAGAGUGUGUCAGAGGGAGGUGGAAUUCCGCGUGUAGCAGAAGUGAAAUGCGUAGAUAUGCGGAGGCACCGAUGGCGAAGGCAGCCUCCUGGGAUAACACUGACGCUCAUGCACGAAAGCGGUAAGGGGAGCAAACAGGAUUAGAUACCCUGGUAGUCCACGCCCUAAACGAUGUCAACUAGCUGUUGGGGCCUUCGGGCCUUGGUAGCGCAGCUAACGCGUGUAGAAGUUGACCGCCUGGGAGUACAGUCGCAAGAUUAAAACUCAAAGGAAUUGACGGGGACCCGCACAAGCGGUGGAUGAUGUGGAUUAAUUCGAUGCAACGCGAAAAACCUUACCUACCCUUGACAUGUCUGGAAUCCCGAAGAAGAGAUUUGGGAGUGCUCGCAAGAGAACCGGAACACAGGUGCUGCAUGGCUGUCGUCAGCUCGUGUCGUGAGAUGUUGGGUUAAGUCCCGCAACGAGCGCAACCCUUGUCAUUAGUUGCUACGAAAGGGCGCUCUAAUGAGACUGCCGGUGACAAACCGGAGGAAGGUGGGGAUGACGUCGAAGUCCUCAUGGCCCUUAUGGGUGAGGGCUUCACACGUCAUACAAUGGUCGGGACAGAGGGUCGCCAACCCGCGAGGAGCCAAUCCCAGAAACCCGAUCGUAGUCCGGAUCGCAGUCUGCAACUCGACUGCGUGAAGUCGGAAUCGCUAGUAAUCGCGGAUCAGCAUGUCGCGGUGAAUACGUUCCGGGUCUUGUACACACCGCCCGUCACACCAUGGGAGUGGGUUUUACCGAAGUAGUUAGCCUAACCGUAAGGAGGGCGAUUACCACGGUAGGAUUCAUGACUGGGGGUGAAGUCGUAACAAGGUAA
rnacentral:rRNA from 1 species